rnacentral:lncRNA from 1 species
GCGAUAGAUAGAAAUCAAUUAGAGGAGGUUGGACUCCCAUUAUAAAACAUUGAAAGGACGCUUUUAUAAGGUGAUAUCAAUUGAAGAAUAAACCUCCAAGGGCAAAUUAAUGAUGAGAACUCAUCUUUAAUUGGCCAUCUUGUUGGUUUAUAUGAAUACAACUCCAUUAUAAAGGUAAGGCCCAUCCACAUUUUCUUUUGACUUCAUGGCAAGGCCCUCUUGAGCUAUAGGAUUCCAGAAGGCAAGGGGAGUUAUAAUAACAACUAAAAGAACAAUUUGUGCCUUUCUAAGUGAGCUAAAUGUCUUGCUUACACAUUUGCACACACAAUGUACAACAAGAAGUUCAAUGAUUGUGGGAAGCGAAAUAAGAACCACAAUGCCUGUUAAGAAUAACAAGUAUCUUUUCAAUCUCUUAAAAGUUUGAGAGUAACCUAUGCUUCAUUUUUCAUUUUAUAGUAAGAUGAUUUACAUUUCAUGUCUUCCCCACCAACUUUACAAACAUGAAUGUGUAAUACACUUGCUGAUUUAAGCAGUGAACUCUGGGGUUGAAAAUAAGACAUUAUUUUUGUGGUCAAAGUAGGCAUUAAACCAGCAUGUGUGAAUACAGCAGCCAUGAGCAGUUAGGAUUAAUACAAUGACAUUCAAGUGAUUGCGGCCAUGGAUAUCUAUUCUACACAUAAACCAGAUCGAUGUCUAUUACAGCAGAAUUUUCCAUACUCGGUCCUGGGACCCUCCCUGGGCGCACAUUUUGUUUUUUCCCCUAGCAUUACACAGCUGAUUUAUAAAAUCAGCUCAUCAUCAAGCUUUGAUUAUUUUUUUAAAUUACAGAUCCUGAAUGAGGUAGCUUCUUAGCAAUCACAAUGUUUUUCACCAUUACUUAGUGGCCUAUUCACCUAUUCAUCAUUGCUCCAUAUUCAUUUCCCCAAUGUAAUCAAAGUAAACUGUGAUUCUCAUGCCAGUUUUCCUCAAGGCCUAGACUAGACUGUACCUCUCCUUACUCCCCUCUCUGUCGCCAUCUAUUGGUGGGAGCAUAUUCAACUAAGCCCUGGAGCCCAGCUGAGGAAGAGUAGGAGAGCAACCCCAGCAGCAGCACAUCGUCCCCUCUCAGGUCGCAGUUGUAACUGAGAACUUGUUCUCAACUGGCCUACGUGGUUAAAUAAAGCAACUUCGCGCAGUCAUUGAAGAGGAGUGCGACAACAUUCCACAGGCCACAAUCAACAGCCUGAUCGACUCUAUGAGAAGGAGAUGUGUCGUGCUGCAUGAGGCAAAUGGUGGUCACCAGAUACAGGCUGGUUGUCUGAUCCUACCUGUCACGUCCUGACCAGUAAAAGGGGUUAUUUGUUAUUGUAGUUUGGUCAGGUCGUGGCAGGGGGUAUUUGUUUUAUGUGGUUCGGGCUGGUUGUGUUAGUAGUUGGGUGUUUGAUAUAUUAUUCCGGGUUUUGGGCACUGUUCUAUGUUAAUGUAUUUCUAUGUUUAGUCUAGUUAUUUUGUAUCUCUAUGUUAGGUUAUUUGGGGGUUGGACUCUCAAUUGGAGGCAGGUGUUUUCUAGUUGCCUCUGAUUGAGGGUCCUAUAAAUAGGUAUGUGUUUGUGUUAGUAUUUUGUGGGAGA